rnacentral:misc_RNA from 1 species
GAUGAAGAACGUAGCGAAAUGCGAUAAGUAAUGUGAAUUGCAGAAUUCAGUGAAUCAUCGAAACUUUGAACGCACAUUGCGCCCGCCAGUAUUCUGGCGGGCAUGCCUGUUCGAGCGUCAUUUCAACCAUCAAGCCCCCGGCUUGUGUUGGGGACCUGCGGCUGCCGCAGGCCCUGAAAACCAGUGGCGGGCUCGCUAGUCACUCCGAGCGUAGUAAUACAUCUCGCUCAGGGCGUGCUGCGGGUUCCGGCCGUUAAAAAGCCUUAUUUACCCAAGGUUGACCUCGGAUCAGGUAGGAAGACCCGCUGAACUUAAGCAUAUCAAUAAGCGGAGGA